rnacentral:lncRNA from 1 species
GCUCGUUAUUCUCGCUCCAUGUCACGUCAAACAGGCCAUCAUUCCAGUCAAAGCUCCUGAGUAGGACAAUCCCAGUUUCAUUUUGUUCCAGCACUGCCAGAGUUCCACAACCUGCGAUGCCGUAGUACUGCGCGGCGGCGCAGGCCACGCGCCCCGGCCAGUAGGGCGAGAACUCCGCCGCGUAGCCGUGCAGGCCCGGCAGCCGCAGGGUACCGCCGCCGCCCGCCGUGCCCAUGGCCCCGGCCCGGCCCGGCCCGGCCGCGGCCUUGCUUAGGAGGCGGCACCGCCGCCCCGCAGCGCUCUCAGCCGCGCCGGAAGGGCCCCGCCCGCCGCGCUGAGGCGGUGCCGCCAUCUUUGUCGCUGGCAGCAAGGCGGGCAGAUUGUUCGGGCUUCACAGGCAGAGGUCCUUCUGUGAGAGAGUUUUCUUCUACCCGUGACGACUUGGCCGCGGAGAAUAAUGAUGUAUUCCUGCUAUUAUGUCUUUUUUUUUUCUUUAAGGCUAAACCUCCAUUACAAAAUCUGCUGUAAAGUGACAUCGAGUGCCUAAUUCUUAACCUGGCAUUUAAAGGCAGAUCACUGAAUUAUGUGGUUGGACUCAUUUGAACUCAUAUAUAUGUUUACUGAACAGGCUCCAGGACUUUAUGAUAAAAUCAUUCCAAA